AUUCCAGCUCCAAUAGCGUAUAUUAAAGUUGUUGCAGUUAAAAAGCUCGUAGUUGGAUUUCUGGCAGGAGCGACCGGUCACACACUCUGUGUGUGAACUUGUGUUGUCUCUGGCCAUCCUUGGGGAGAUCCUGUUUGGCAUUAAGUUGUCGGGCAGGGGAUACCCAUCGUUUACUGUGAAAAAAUUAGAGUGUUUAAAGCAGGCUUAUGCCGUUGAAUAUAUUAGCAUGGAAUAAUAAGAUAGGACUUCGGAACUAUUUUGUUGGUUUGCGUUACGAAGUAAUGAUUAAUAGGGACAGUUGGGGGUAUUCGUAUUUCGUUGUCAGAGGUGAAAUUCUUGGAUUUCCGAAAGACGAACUACUGCGAAAGCAUUUACCAAGGAUGUUUUCAUUA
rnacentral:rRNA from 1 species